rnacentral:lncRNA from 10 species
GAUUGGAUGGUGCCUGCCUAUACGGAGGGCGGAUCUUCCCCUCCUCGUCCACUCAGACUCACAUGCAAGUCUCCUCUAGAAACACCCUUGCAGACACACCCCAAAAUGACACUUUUAGAGAAGCUGUGUGUGCUCCCGAAACUGCCAUGCAGGACCUCAGUAGAUGUGUGCCAUAGAACCACAAGCAAGCUCAGAUAAAUGACUAGGAAGCAGGAAGAUGCAUCUGAUGGCUUCUCUGCAUGAAGACCAAAUAAAAGGAACCUUGUACGUGGACUCUUUUUAAAAAUUAAAAUUUAUUUUGUUUCUUGCAUCUAAUAUAGAAAUAAUUCAUAUUCAUUGUGGAAGAUCUGUGGGAAAAAAAAUAGAAAGAAAAAAAGACUCACCUGUCAUCUACCAAACACCAAUAGACACAAUUGAAAUGA